rnacentral:lncRNA from 1 species
CUUCAUUGCCUCCACCUGUCCUGUGGGCUGAUUACACCCCUGAAUCACAGGUGGAGAGAUUUUUGUAGGCUGAUGAAGUAUUGCAGAAGCAUAAAAUUUAUGAACACUUUAUUUGUAUCACUGUGUUUGAUAAUAUUUAGACUUGAAUAAUUUUUAGUAACUAAUAUAAUGCUGAAAAUCACUCUAUGAUAUAUCUAAUGAAGCCAUCAUAUCAAAUAUACCUCAAAAAGCCCAUUUUUGUCAUUUCCAUUACAGGGCAGAUGUGGACUGAUGGGUGCAUAGCCCUUCUGACCCUGUUUUAGGUUAAGACAUGCAGAAGUCCCUCUUCAAACCAGACCAAGGGGACCCAAGCCCCAGCCUGGAUGACUGUGGAUUACACGAAUGGACACACAGCAGUAUGUUCCUGGCAUCAAUCCAGACAAAGAUGUUCACUUCACCAAAGCCCACGCGCCACUUUUGCUACUGAGGCUCAGAGGAAAUCACCAAACUAUGACUUGCAAGACAAGCAAGAGGUUCCAAGACUAUGGGAGAACAUGGGUGUUUUUUAAUAAAUCCAGAUUUGUGAGGAACUAACUCAGACUCCUUCAGCUUAUAUGAGCCAGGAAAGUUGAGACAGUGUGGAAAAGGAAGAGGGAACAAACUACAUUUGGCCAAGUUUAGUUUUCCAUGGAUUAAAAAGGAAGCAGCCAAGCUAACCAAAGUUGUCAAUACAGUCCAUGAUGAGAAAGGGUGCAGAUGAAGGGAAACGAACCCUCAAAUGAUACAUGGAUUUCUUCUAUUUUUUCAGAAUUAAAGUUUAGAGAAAAGCUUGAUACAUAGGAAUGUUUCAGGAAAGAAGACAUUUUGGAGACAUGCUUACUUUGGAAGGAUUUGGAUGUAAUUUUGGUUAGAAAAUUAUACAACAAUGAACUUGGUUUAAUACAGAAACAUUCAUAUUACAUUUUUUUCUUUUUCUGUGGACAUCUCAAGUACACAAUGGUUAUUUUCUUGUGGUGUAAAAUUGCAAUGUACAUUUCUUGCCUUUGACUGAUAAAAAUGCUUUGGGCAAAUACUUCAGCCCAUUUCUGCAUUUAUUUGGUUUUAAGCAUUGGGUUCAUAGUUCACAUUGGAUGAGCAAUCUUGUGUUUUAUUCAGCCACAUGUAAAGAGAAAUUUCAAGGACUUAAGCAAAGAAUCAGU